UUGAGUUUUAAUCAAAAAGCGUAAAAAUGGCUACUCCUAAAUUUGUUAUGAAAAUACACUUUGGAUGGCCUGGGGUAAGCAAAUAAUAAGAAAUUGUUAAUUUUUGUGUUAACUUUGAGAAUGCCGUUACAAUUAAGUUUUUGAAGGUUGAGAUAAUUCUGCAAUGCUAAUGGGACUGUUAAUCAAGUGUUUCUGUUGAUUUUAGAUUAUCAGAUGUUCACUCCCAUCAUUCUGACUCUCGUGGUAAUUAUAUUUGUGGUAGUUCUCUGUUUAGUUUACAUGCGAAAGAGAAAAUCACACAAUUCUGAUGCUGAUGCGGAAAUGCAAAGCACCACAUAUACUACAGAGACGUCGCUGAAUCAACAGGCUGCUGGUGAUUAUGAGGAGAUCACAGAGACCCCGCAGCAGAUCAGCACACACUCCACUUAUUGCAAUGUGAUUAAAACUCAUACAGCCAAUCAAAACCAAGAUCCCCCACCAUAUUCCCUCCUCUCCUUUCAGCCAAGCUGCACCAAACAAUCUCCAAACAACAGCGCUGAUUAGGUUGGAUUAAAAAAUCCAACCCAGGCUCAUUCUGAACGUACUCCUAUAUACAUUUCUGAAAAGGGGCAAACACAUUCCAGGAGCUAUGUUUCUUGCAGUUUUUUGUUUUGGCGAAUCCACCAGUGUCCGCUGUGUAUGCUUUUUUAAGAUCUCAUUUUCUCUCAGUAGUGCCAUUCACGCCACCAGAGGCCGCUAUGUGCUGACUGACUGACCAAUCAACUGACCCAGCCUCCUCCUUCCCUAAACCCAACCAAUAGUGUUUUAAAAAGCACCAUUUGACUCACCCACCCACUUCCCCAAACCCAACCAACAGCGAUCCAGAAAAAGUCAAGCCCUCACUCCAGCCUGAUUUUUACAACUUUUCCGAUUUUACCAGACUCGAACCCUGUCAUCGCGGUAAACUCCACUUUACGUCACAAGUCUCCCCACGUACAUGGUCGAGCUACUGAGCAAACUGGUAACAGUGGCACAGCUGUCCACACGGAGGUAAGCGGUCAGCUGGUAAGAGCAAAAAAGGAACAGCGUCAUACCGCCCCAUAGCGCUCAUUUUAAAGACAAAAUGCAGCCAUAUGUUUCUCUGGCUAUAUAAUUGAUGAUCUACAGAAAUUUAUACAGGGGUUUGUUUUCAGAUUGAGCCUACAUUGAAAAAAAUCCCAUAACAUUAUUGUAGCAAUUUACAUUUUUAAUAAACUGUAUUCAUUAAUUCGAUGUUUACAUAUUGCAGCAGAAAAACAGUAUAUUAUUUUACCCUACAGAUGUUUUGUGUAGGCUAUAUCUAUCUAGCAUUUAACUACUAAGCUUUGUUUAUACCCUUGUUAUACUACCAAUUAAGACAGAUAAUGCUAUAGCGUUAAAACAGAUGCAGUGUUGUCUGUGUAAAUGUAAUUUUCAGUAACAAAGGCACAUUUUAACGGAAAAAAAAAAUCAGUUGGCUUGAUAACUAACAAGAGUAACUUUAAAUAUGUUGACCUAUCAUUAUUUUUUUUUAAUAAUUGCUUUUUUACAAUUCUGUUUGCACUUUCUGGCUGCCUACUAAUUGAAACCAAUUAUCAGAGGCAUGUAUGAUUCAUAGAAUUAGUAUGUCUAAGUUAAUUGAUAACAGAUUGUGUGUUUUUUUUUUUUUUGGGG